rnacentral:tRNA from 1 species
UCGGGGAUCGUCCAAUGGCAGGACUCGGGAAUUUGGAUCCCGCUAUGGAGGUUCGAAUCCUCCUCCCCGAGCCA